GUUGUCAGUGACAGCCGGGCAGCACAUUAGUUUAUCCUAGAACCAUGGCCUUCCAGCGGCGGGGACAGAAAAGAACUGCCAUGCUUCCCUGCCUCCCCCAUUCAGAACCUGUGAGGACGUAUGUCCCUGAAGCCACACUACAGACAAAGGAACCUGGCGGGCGCCACAUGCUGUGUGUGUGUCAUCAGACAUUGGACAAUAUCAGCCAGAACACAGCCAUUUCAGUUAUUUUUUGAGACGGUGUCUUGCCGCGGCCCAUAAUCUAGGACGGGUUUGAUUGACUUAAAGUUGAGUUACGAGUGGUUGAACCAGAAUGAUAACACACGAGAGCUUUGACCGAAUGAAAAGUUGCCAGACAGGACACCCUCUUCACCAGCGAGAUGUUUGGUCAGGCACCUAACUUUUUUCAGAUCCCAUUUGAGGAGAGGGAUGAGAAAAUUCCUCCUGGGCGACCCACGGGUCGUGGGGAAAAAAAGCCAGAACCUUUCACGCUGGCUAGCCUGUGACUCUUGGGGAGGCAGACGUACUGUCCAGCUGGCGCCUCACUCAGGACGCUGGAAGAGAACCCGGGGAGGCGGGGUGGGAGCAAGGGCUGAGAAAAGGUGUAGCUGCUGGAGAGAAAUUAGAGAUCUUGGCCCUUCUGGGAAGCAGGACGGUCCAGCACUCACACAGCGCCGGGGAGGCCCCAAACAAACUCCUCUCCCUCCUUGCUCUCGGCCCUUUGUUGUCCGCCUCUGGCUCCCGCUCAUGCCCUCGGGUCCCCCGCCCCCCUGAAGUCACCCCAACUGCACUCAUAAUAUUUUGCUUUGCGCCGGGUCUGUUUUCCACCACCAACUUCCAGCAGUCUCCAUGGCGACGCGCUGGGGCUAGGGGGUAGGGUGGGGGCGGCGGCGGCUGUUCAGAUCUCAGGCCUGAGCCGCGGAGCAGCCCCUGUUAACUUUUCCGGGUCUCUGGGUGUCGCACUGGGAAAAGUGCGCUGUCCGGGGCCCGCCUUGUGAAAUCGCGAGCCCGCAACCUGGUGGAGUCAGACUUGUGUACUGGGGCCGGGUGGCCCAAAACUGCAAUCGCGCGUCUCCGGAACCCGGGGACCACGCGACACUCGCUUGACUCUGCCGCCAAGCUCAGAUGCUAGCAGGUGGCAAGGGUAGUACCUCUCAUGUCCACCUCUCUGGCCACACACACACACACACACACACACACACACACACACACACACACACGCAAUCAGGAACGUCUGUGGAAAGUGACGCUAGUUCGGCAUAAGAUAAAGGCUCUGAUCUCUUGCUGCUCCCUGCUCUAAUCCACAGAUUGGGUCUCAGGGCUGCAGGAGGAGGCUACUUCUACUUACCCAGAGCCUCACCUUGGAGAAGAGACAGGAGGACCCAGGCCUGUUCCCUCUGGGUGCUCUCUACCCCGUGGACAAAUACCUAAGGCCCCAGGAUGUCUCCCUUAGGGCCCAUGAAACUAGGCUGGACCUAAUGCCAGGUCACCCUGCCUGCGGUUCAACUUCUCCUCUUACCAGCGGGGCCCCAGCAUUCAGAUCCGAUUGGAGAAUCUUUGAUGCCCCAGCUGUGAGCUCUGGAGAUGGGGUUGGGGGUAGGGAUGAAAACUAGAUAGAGUUAGGAACUUCCAAUUGGAACGCCACAAUGCACCUCUCCAAGGAGUUAUCCCGUUUAACAAGAAACGACCCUCUGACGCGUAGUGGAUCAAGCUGCCUCAGCCUAACUUUACACAACUUCCUGGUGGUCAAAAAUUCUACCCACUUUUCCUUGCUCAUUCUCAGCACAGAUUAAGGAGCACCUGAACAGCGCUGCGGCUCUGAGUGGAGGAGACAGAAUUAUAAUCGAAUGAACACAAACGGAGUAGCCACUGCCAGCGACCUUCGUAGAGAAUGAGAGCCAAACGGGCCUGAGCACCCACUUUGGGGCAAGGUGGGUCGUGGUGCUAUCUCCGACUGUUAAACUCAGUCCCGGAGGGCGCACGUCGAUGGCUCCUGAGCGCGCCCGCUGCCUUUGCAGCCCGGCGGAGCUUAGCGAAGCCCCCAGAGUUCCAUCUCCGAGGGACUUUGCCGCUGCGUUAAGAAACCAGAGAGCCGAGGAGGAGGAGGCGCGCGCCGGCUCCUGGGCCUCCCCCGACGGAGCCAUUGUUUGGGCCCCACACUUGUAGCGUAUUUUGGAAAAACUCAAGGAAUAUAUUACCAGCUCGAUGCGCGGAACAAAGGGGUGAGUUUCCGCAGGUCACGCUGAAGUGGGCCCGAAGCAGGCCACUAGAGCACCGGCCCCAGCAACACUGUUCUCCCAUGCCGGAGGCACUUUGCGGGGAUUUUUUUCUUUUAAGAAACAGAGACUGCUGCUUCGAUUUGGCGGCCCCUCUGAACGUGGAUGCUCCGGACUUCGCUCCAGCGACUGCUGUGAGCCUGUUGUUUGAGCCCGUUAAGAAUGAAAUCACUGAUUUCGCGUUUCUACUCGAGCGCAACCUUACACGGAGAGAAUAGAAUCGAACUGCCCAGUGGAGCGCUGGGCUCUGCCUGCUCCGGGAGGGGGGGAAUGAACUUUUACAUAACAAGGGAAACCCAGAAGAAAGACUAAUUGGAUUAAUUCUCGGGAAGGGAGGCUCCUGGAUCGGACCUCGACACUUUGCUUGUCCGAAGUUUUGCAUGUGAAAUGUCACCUGGUGCGCCUGAAGUGACUUUUCAAUUGGUGCCAUUAACCAAAACUUUUGAUUUUUGAGUUCAGAAGUGUGAUCUAGGGAUAUAUAUAUAUAUUCUCUUAGGUAUGAGAGAGAAGCCAGAGAGCACUGGAGUUUCAUAACCCAUCUGGGUUGCUCGCCAUUGGAAUGGAAGUGGCCAGUGCUCACACAACCACCUGAUAAACCGCGAUUAAAACUAGAAAGUGCCUACGAUUCUAAGUCACCACCACCACCAAACACCCAAAGAACUCUAAUCCUGUGGAGGAAUCAACUAAUAUUCCAGCUAGAACAUGCCAGCUUUGGGGUAUGAAGAAGGCCCCUGAGACCGUGUACGGACAGACCCCUUGAAAAUACUCAAUUACUAAUUCUGUACAAAUGGG